rnacentral:rRNA from 1 species
UACGUAGGGUGCGAGCGUUAAUCGGAAUUACUGGGCGUAAAGCGUGCGCAGGCGGUUUGUUAAGACAGAUGUGAAAUCCCCGGGCUUAACCUGGGAAUGGCAUUUGAGACUGCAUGGCUAGAGUGUGUCAGAGGGGGGUAGAAUUCCACGUGUAGCAGUGAAAUGCGUAGAGAUGUGGAGGAAUACCGAUGGCGAAGGCAGCCCCCUGGGAUAACACUGACGCUCAUGCACGAAAGCGUGGGGAGCAAACAGG